GACAGAAGACCCUAUGGUGGUGGUGGCCGUGGGCAGUGGUGGAAAUGGUGAGGGCCGGGAAUGACAUACGGCUGUCUUAAAUAAAGCAGGCCAUUGAGUAGAACGAUGACACCUUUGCCAAUGUGGCAUCCAUCAGCCUACCAACAAAGCAGGCCAUUGAGGAGAACAAUAACCCCUUCGACAAUGUGGCAUCCAUCAGCCUACCAACAAAGCAGGCCAUUGAGGAGAACGAUGACACCUUCGACAAUGUGGUAUCCAUCAGCCUACCAAUAAUCGCCCACCUUUUGAAAAGGCACCAGGUAUCUAUGAAACACAUUUACCUGGUGCCUUUUAAGAGAAACAAUGACCAGAGGGUGAUGGUGCUUGAUGCUGCUGUGAACCAUCACAAGUAUAUCUUUCUUCAUGAAGCGUGCUUCAACCUGGCCAAAAACUUGUGUCGUGGGCGGAACCUCAUCAGUCAACGGGCGACCGUCCUAGUCCCUGGACAAUGUGGGUUAAACAUCUCUGUGCGCAGCUAUCUCUGAAGAUGGUGUGGUAGGAUGUAGGCCAUUACUUGGAUCRUACAAUGCUGCACACCUCAUUGUGUUUCUCAAUUAAAUUGAGCAGGCCAGUCAAGCUGAAGGGGUCACCUACUGUAUGUCAUUGUGUGGGACAAUGUCAGGUUCCACCAUGCAGAGGGGGUUGAGGCAUGGUAUUGGGCCGAUCCCUGAUUCGUUACCCCAUACUCUACUUUCCUCAACCCUAUUGAGGAAUUUGUUUCAGCAUGGAGGUGGAAGUGUGUACGAUCACACUUCCACCCAUCCCCAUGAGCCACCCUCCUGGCCAUAGGUGAGGCAUGUGAAGACAUCAAUGCAGACUAAUGUCAAGCUUGGAUUCACCAUGCCAAAAGGUUUUCCCCAUGAUUGCAUGAACAAUGAGGACAUUCAUUGUGAUGUGGAUGAGAAUUUAUGGCCAAAUGAAGACAGGCUUGAUCCAAAUUAAUGGUUUUAUUUUCAUUCGUUUCAUUUAAUUUCUUACAUUUGAUUACAGUCAGUACAGCUACGUUGCAAUUAUUUUGUAAAAAUAUUUAGCAUGAAUGAUUGUAGAGGAUGUUUUUAUUGAGCACACCUUUGAUUACACAUUGGGUUGAUAUUAUGUAAAUUAUAGAUUUUCUGUCAAUUUUGUUCGAUAAUGUAAGUGUAUUGCCUAAUGUGAAAACUAUGUAAUUUACAGUACUGUAGCAUAUUAUUUUCAGCACUUCUAAGGGUGAUUUGAAACGCUUWUCUUGCUUUGUUUUCUAUUGCAUUAACUGGUAGUUAAAACAACUAAAUUGAAAGAUAUCAUUAUGUUUUGGUGAUUGUUUAAUCUUCUCAUUAAAUUUCAUAAACUUCUAUUUUGAAUCAAUGGUUGUGUGGUGAGAGGUGUGCAGUCUUUUGGAUUGUAAAAUGACAGGUUGUUAAUGAAAAACUGUCUGUGUGACCAGUUUGGAGUUUAGUACUAAGAUUUGUCAAAAUGUACCACAUACCUGUGAAUGGAGUACCAAAGCGAUUAAAAAGUAAUAAUAAUAAAAUCUGAUCAUUUGAACAUG